GAUCAUGGCUCAGGAUGAACGCUAGCUACAGGCUUAACACAUGCAAGUCGAGGGGAAACGACAUUGAAAGCUUGCUUUUGAUGGGCGUCGACCGGCGCACGGGUGAGUAACGCGUAUCCAACCUGCCCACCACUUGGGGAUAACCUUGCGAAAGUAAGACUAAUACCCAAUGACGUCUCUAGAAGACAUCUGAAAGAGAUUAAAGAUUUAUCGGUGAUGGAUGGGGAUGCGUCUGAUUAGCUUGUUGGCGGGGUAACGGCCCACCAAGGCGACGAUCAGUAGGGGUUCUGAGAGGAAGGUCCCCCACAUUGGAACUGAGACACGGUCCAAACUCCUACGGGAGGCAGCAGUGAGGAAUAUUGGUCAAUGGGCGAGAGCCUGAACCAGCCAAGUAGCGUGCAGGAUGACGGCCCUAUGGGUUGUAAACUGCUUUUAUAAGGGAAUAAAGUGAGCCUCGUGAGGCUUUUUGCAUGUACCUUACGAAUAAGGACCGGCUAAUUCCGUG
rnacentral:rRNA from 1 species